rnacentral:lncRNA from 1 species
AUGUCUAAAUAUGCUAAGUAAGAAUUUGUAUAACCUGUUUUCAAUGUUGACAGGAAAGUUUGGUCCUCGCUUCCCAGAAGUCAUCUGUAAGGCAGUCGCAGGAAUAAGCACAAACUAGAAGAGGCUCACUAAUCCCAAGAAAAAUGAAAAGUAUCUGGGGAGGUCAAGGCUGACUGUAAUUCAGACUUAGUCUAAGAGAAAGAUAAUCUAGGGUAACAGAGACACCUAAUGAUGAGCUGUUCACAGAGGCCAGCUCUCCCUCAGCUGCCCUCGGACUUGGUGUGAACAUGACUGAAAAACUCGAACAUCACAGCAGUGAAGAAAGCCUAACGAGGCGAACGGGAUUUCACCGUGGAGAAGAAAGCCUUAGAGAUGUGAAAUGUUUCCAGAGACAUGAAAUGGGAUGAAAUCCAGCUGUGGAAAGGUGAUGUGAAGAGCUGCUUGGGGCCCUCCAAACCCCUAAGAAGAGACAAAAGAGUAUGUUCGGUUCCCCAUGGCAGUGACCCUGAUCCCAGAUUUCCUCAGCUCCCCCAUAAACCUGUCCAGCCUCGGAAUUUGCCAGGGACUCUUGCGUGAUUCCAACCCUUAACACGCUCCAAGUUCACAUAAAUGAGGCCUGCUCCACGUACAGAGGUCGGCCAUCUGGUUCAGGAGUUCAGGAAAUACUUGUGGGACUUAGAAGCGCCUGCCAGCCUGUCCACAGUACAGUGAGUUCUCCCACGGUGUGCCGAAAACAACUGGCAAUCUGCCAUUGCCUAGAGUAUUCACACCUUGAGGUCAGGGGUUGGGAGGAGGCCAGGCAGCACAGCCACUGGCGAGCCGCCUUCACCACAGGGCCAGACCGGGUGUUUCCCCCCCAUGGGAACACAGGGGCUCUACCUUUGUGCUUCGCCAAGGCGUUCCAUAAAUUGGGUAGGAGGGGGUUGUGGAGAGAGGUGGGCUGCCUAGAACUUCCUUCUGGACUGCUACUGCUGCGGCUUCAGCCACGGUCUGAUGAAACACGGUGUAUGAGCGCCCCCUACUGCUCUCACCUAGAUGAGUCCCAGGGCAAGGACUCAAAAUCUUUCUUUGCCCUUAACCCAAACUUACAAAAUAUUUUUUUAAACCAAAUUAAAAGACUUUUGUUUAAAAUAAACACCCAAUGAGACAGUUCAAACUGUUAACCACUCAUUUAUUUUUCAAAAGCC